GCAAGAUGGCUUCCGCAUACAGUUCAGAGUGAGAGCAGUGAAUUUGAGGAUGUUUUGGUCGAUACAGAAGGAUAUUUAAACGUUGAGGUGUGACUGUGGAAACUGCACAGCUCAAAUCACUGCCCUGGAACAGAGUCGACGUGCUGCAGUGACUAUUCCCCAGUUCUGGCCAAGAAGGAAAGUUAUGAGCCAGAUGGAGUUGCCUGCAUAACUCUGCAUCCCGGAUUCGCAAGCAACUGCCUUGACCGAUAUGUCCUGGAAAGUGCCAUGUAUGAAUUUAUCCAAGAUCAAGGGCCAAUAGGAAAUGAUCAGCCAAUGCACAAGUUAUGGAGAUACCUUGCAUACCGCAGAUUUGUGCGCUGGUGCUGGCAACGUUUGGGCAAAAAGCAAAGACUUCCUCUUCCAGUCUGUGCUCGUGACAAGAUUCACAUACAUCGUUGGGGAAAACGUCCUGUACAAAAAGUCUGGCAUGCGCCAGACUAAUAAGUAAAGAACUUCUGGCUGCGCGAGACUACUGUGAUAAAAAUGAGCAUUGCAGAGACUCUGUGUGUACGGAGGCAUAUAUUUUUUACAAUUAAAAAUGCUCUCAAAAGACUACAUGGAAUGAUUAUUUAUUAACAUUUCCUGAACUAUAAAUAAUAUAAAUAGUAUAAAUUUGUCUGUAUUACAAGGUAUAUCGAAGCUUUGAAUUAGAAAUACAUUACGAUAGUUUGAGUAUUGUAUAAAUUGAUGUAUUUGAUGCAAUUUUCUGUAAAAAGAAUCGAAUUUGAAAAAUUAAUUAAGUUCUAUAAAUUUGCCUAAAUUGUCUAGAAAACCUAAUUUGACCAUAUUUGUGGGGUCUAUGUUUUUUUUGGCAUUGAUUUGGUUUCCCCACUUCGCGAAUUAGCUCAAAAAACACUUUCUAGAUGUGAGAUUUGACUUCUAAAAUAAAUAUCACCGGUUUUCCCAAAAAAUUAAAAUAUUUAAUUAAAAUAUUUUUUGGAAUACAAUAAACUGAUUUA